rnacentral:lncRNA from 1 species
UCACAUUUAUAAAAACACAAACAUUACCUCAUUGGCGCGUGAGGUGAACAUGAAUGAGUCUUGCUCUGGUAAAAGGCAUAAGGGCUUGACUUUUCUUUCGUUAUCAGUGUGACGCAUAAAGUGCGCACCAUUCAUAACCUUUCCAUACGAUCGAAAGACACACGCGCUCCUUAAAGUACUUGGCGCGUGCAGCUUUUUCAGCUUGCAUUUUGUAUCUCCAACCCGUACUUUGUAACCAGAACUUUAAAAGUGGGUCCUCCCU